AUAGCUUUCAGCAAGCAGGUUGCAAACCACCAUUCAUCUCUCUCUAACAGGGCUGCCCCAAAUGAAACCCAAACCCAGACAAAAUCUACCUCCACAGAUGGGCAGAACAAGCCUGAAACAAAAUGUCAACUGGAGGUUUCUAGGUGUUGGAACCAAGCAGGAGCCAUGCCUGGAGGUGGAGAAGGCCCAAGUUGAGAUGGAGGGUACAGUGCGGAAUGGCCGGGAGAGAGAUCAGCAGGCACUUCACAAGCUGUGACAGGUUGGGACCUCUGCUGCCGUAGUCUGCCACACAGUCUUCGCUGGGUCUAAAAUGGCUUCAUUAUUUGGAGAGGCAAUCUUUGAGGAGGCUGAAGAAUGGAGGAUAUCAAAGAGUUGAUGCUGGGUAUCCCUGACUUCCUUCAGUGGAAUCUGGAAAGUGUCUGCCACCAUUUUUGCCAUCUUAUGGAAGAGAUAAAAAUCAACUGCCAAAGAUAGUGGAGAAGUCGUGACGGCUUCGUCUGGAGGAGGAAGAGGAUAUGGUCCUUGCAGUCACUUCCUCCCCAGUUCCUCUAAGUCUUGUGGUAGUUCCAAAGCCUUGCAUGGUGCGGCCGAGGGAAUGUGCCGAGGCAGGGUUCUCAAGCAAGGCUCAGAGCUUGACAGGCAUGCUGGCAGUGUACCGCCCAAGGGUUCCAAUAUGACCAUUGGGGCGGUGGUGGCUGAGAGCCCACUGGUGGAGCCCAUGGGUGGCCAUACCAGAAUGGUGGUGGUAGGGCCAUCUGCAGGUAUAUCCUUGGACUCUGUUGAUAGUGAGUACCAUAUGGAGGUUGGGAGGAGAACUGAAACACUAUCUCCUCAGGCUCACUGUCUGAACCCUCACUAGAGAGUGGAAGGGCAUGGCAUGGCAGCGAGGAUACUUUGCGUGCCUGGUAGAGGCUUGGUGCACAGGUCUCAGGUACUGUGCAUGUGGAGGUCUCUUGAAUGGUGGAGUUCUGCCAGUACCGAUCAGGCUGGCAUCGGUGGCGGUGCUGAGGAUCUUCUCCACACCAGUUGCUCUGGUGCCAGGCAAGCCAUAGCUGCAGGGCCAGCUCCAGGAUUUUGGCUGCCCCAA